rnacentral:rRNA from 1 species
AUGACUCCCCAAGCCCUCCUCCUCCUCCUCGCCGCCGCCGCCGCCGUCGCCGUCGCCGCCGCGGCCCCGCCGAACGGCGCGGCGAACGACCUCCUGCCCAAGUACGGCCUCCCCAGGGGCCUCAUCCCGGACUCGGUCAGCUCCUACACCUUCGACGAGGCCACGGGCGACUUCGAGAUCCACCUCGCGGGCACCUGCUACGUCCGCUUCGGCGACCACCUCGUCUACUACGAGAAGGCCCUCCGCGGCUGCCUCUCCAAGGGGCGGAUCACCGGCCUCUCCGGCAUCCAGGCCAAGAAGCUCUUCCUCUGGGUCUCCGUCUCCGGCAUCGUCGCGCACCCCGAGGAGGGCACCCUCGAGUUCCAGGUCGGCUUCGUCUCCGAGGAGCUCUCCGCCUCGCUCUUCGACCGGGUGCCCGUCUGCGGCGCCAGCGCCGGCGCGCAGCUCCGCGGCGUCGCCGGGGUCAUCCAGGAGCUCGGCCUGCUCCCCGUUGCAGAGGCUUGA